rnacentral:lncRNA from 1 species
GUUGAACUUGCAGACAAACUCCCUCAUGUGCAAUCACUCUGUAUACAUGAAAUGAUCGUUCGAGCCUACAAGCACAUAUUACAAGCUGUUGUAUCUAUGGUAAAUGAAGUCGCUGACCUGACUGCCUCAGUCGCAGCAUGUUUAAAUAUAUUGUUAGGAACUCCUGCACCUGAAACGGAGGAUGCAGAGAUUGUGAAAGAUGAAGAGUUAAAGUGGAAAUGGGUGGAAACCUUCCUGUUAAAGAGGUUUGGGUGGCAGUUGAAGCAUGAAAGUUGCCGAGAUCUACAAAAAUUUGCUAUUCUUCGUGGACUUUCCCACAAAGUAAGCAUAUGUCGUUCUGUUUUUUGUGUGGAAAUUAUAUCUCAUUUUGUUGAUAUUGCUUCUGGUGCCUUUGGUUUACAUUCUCACUGUAUAGUUCGGUCAUUCUUUUCAGGUUGGGCUUGAGCUCCUUCCCCGUGACUAUGAUAUGGAUACUGCAUUCCCUUUUAGGAGGUCUGAUGUCAUAAGCAUGAUCCCUGUAUAUAAGGUAAGAUCGCAUACUGGAAUUGGGCUGUUUAAUUUUACUCCGGCUUAUUGUUGUGACUUUGUUUUGUUUUUCAUGUUCUGCAGCAUGUUGCAUGUUCGUCAGCAGAUGGACGCACUUUAUUGGAAUCCUCAAAAACUUCAUUGGAUAAGGGGAAGUUGGAAGAUGCUGUUAAUUUUGGCACCAAGGUGUGGACUUGUUCGUCUGUUGUUUAUUCACAUUGUGCCUUUUUCGAUUUGAUGUCAACUGACAUGGUUAUUCAUGUACGUAGGCACUCUCAAAGCUGGUUUCAGUUUGUGGCCCUUAUCAUCGAAUGACUGCCGGAGCUUACAGUUUGCUUGCAGUAGUUCUUUACCAUACUGGAGAUUUUAAUCAGGUAUAACAUCUUGUUAGCUACCGUAUUAUUAGUGAUAUAGGAGAUAUUGUAAAUAUGUUAUGUAGGAUACUGCUGAUAAGGCAGAUCGUAUAUGUUAGGAUAGUUAAAGAUAAAUAUGGUAGGAGAUAAUUCUAUAUCAAUAGAGAAUCAGUACCUAAUAGGAAAAUAGACUACGAUCCUAUUCCUAUAUAUGUAUCUUAUUAUUCAAGCAAUGAAAGUAAGUCAGAAACGAUACCUCUGGAACUUAUAUGGUAUCAGAGCCAUCUUACUAAAAGUAGUAUAGCUUCUCAUCCAUGGCGCCAGAACCAGUCAGCAGUGAUUCCAUCAUCGAUCCAGUCACUACCAAUGUAUCGCACGCUGCUCAGCCAAUCGCUGCAGAUAAUCCACAUCUGCAGAUCACAACGAUUAAGCUGAACGGAGCAAACUAUGUACGUUGGUCACAGUCUGUGCGCAUGUACAUCAGAGGGAGAUCCAAGAUUGGAUACAUCACCGGGGCUGCUACCAAACCGGAGGAGACGGACCCUGCCUUUGCAGUAUGGGAUGCUGAAAACUCUAUGGUGAUGACAUGGCUCGUCAACUCAAUGUCAGCAGAGAUUGGGGCCAACUACCUGGGGUACAACACAGCAAAGGAGCUAUGGGAUGAUGUGGUAGCUACCUACUCGGAUCUUGGAAACCAGUCACAGGUAUACGAACUUACCCAGAAACUGGCUAUGAUUGUUCAAGGAGAGGAUUCUGUUACACGUUAUUAUAAUCUGUUGAAACAAGUGUGGCAAGACUUGGAUCUAUUCAAUGAUCAUGUCUGGAAAUCAGUUGAUGAUCAUAGGUUUUUUACGAAAACUGUGGAAACUAACAGAAUUUUCAAGUUUUUGGUGGGCUUAAAUGCCGAGUUAGAUGAGGUGCGUGGCAGGAUUAUUGGGCGUGACCCUCUUCCCACUAUAGGAGAAGUGUUUAACGAGGUCCGUCGAGAAGAAAGUCGACGCCGUGUUAUGCUGGGAGGAAAAACCCAGCCAGUGCCUGAAGGGUCUGCUCUUAUUACUGGGAAACAGAAGGAGGCUGCCCCUGAAGCGAUGGUAGCUUACAAAGGGGGAUCCCAUCGUGGACCUGAUCCUAAGGCCCACUUGAAGUGUGACUACUGCGGAAGGACUAGGCAUACUCGUGAUCGAUGCUUCAAGCUGCAUCCAGAAUUGCGAAAUCCAGCUCCUAGUGCUCCCAGUGACAGCAGCUACCAGCCUAGAGCUCACAGUGCUGUGAUGCAACCAGAAGGUGGACUGCUCAGCAAAGAACAGCUGGAGCAGAUUCUGUCACUACUCAAGCCACAGUUGUCUCAGUCUGGUAACCCUACUGAUUCUACAGCACAUUCAGGUAACGUACUAAUGGCACGAUCUAUGAGGAAUUGGAUAAUUGAUUCUGGAGCCUCAGAUCAUAUGACACAUGAUUCACUAUCCUUUAUUACAUAUGCAUCACAGUCAGGAUUUAAUAAGGUCAAAGUGGCUGAUGGUAACCUAGCUCCGAUUGCAGGCAUUGGACAUAUUCCUAUAUCCAAAGACCUUACUCUAAAAUCUGUUCUACAUGUUCCUAAGCUGUCCUAUAACCUUCUAUCCACUCACAAACUCACCCAAGACUCUAACUGCCGUGUGGUUUUCUAUCCUUUUCAUUGUACCAUUCAGGAUCGGAGCUCGGGGAGGGUGAUUGGCAGAGGUAGGCAGAAGGAAGGGCUCUACUACCUAGAGGAGGAAGGGCUUGGUGUUAAAAAAGGUCAGAGCUUGGCCUGUGCAAGUUCUGCCCCUCUGUAUUUUUUCAAUCUUUUUGGAUAAAAUCUUUCAUUCAUAAAUAAAACCUCUCAAUCUCAUUAUUUGCUGUUAAAACAUCGUAAAUUUCUAUUAAUAGUUACUUCAAUUUUUAUUCAGCUUGAGAAUGCUAUUGCACAAGUCACCAACGUCUCAAUCGCCGAAUACAAGCCAGAGAUUGCAAAAUGGAGAUGUCGAAAAUGCACGUCAGGCCAGGGCACUUGUCCGGAAGGUACUAGAGGAAAGUCUACAGAAGUUAAUUGAAGAACCUAACAAGCGUGUCAAGUCCAUCAGAUGGGAGCUCGGAGCAUGUUGGGUUCAACAUUUACAAAAUCAGGCUUCAGGUAAAACUGAUUCUAAAAAGCCUGAAGAAAACAAGCCUGAACCUGCCGUGAAGGGACUUGGAAAGCAGGGUGCGCUGCUUAAGGAUCUGAAGAAAAGAAUGGAUGUCAAAAAUAGCAAAACAGAAGAGCAAACGGAUAUUUCUCUUGGCAACAACUCUGAGACUGUAAAGAAGUCGGAUGGCACAAAUCAGAAAGAAGAGGAGAAGAAAGACGAGAAUCUGGAGGUCUUGUGGAAAAAGUUGCUUCCUGAAGCAGCAUAUAUGCGGCUUAAAGAAUCCGAAACUGGUUUUCAUCUCAAGGUUUGGCUACCGAGCUUCUGCCUAAAGUUUUUCUUUUGCGGGUGCUAGGAACAUUUAACCAAGUAGUUGUUGAUACACUGAUCUACUCUUUUGAUAGUUUGAGGCUAAAGUGGGGUUAUGCAUGAAUGUUUACUUCAUCCUUGUUUUCAAAUUCUCUUUUUCUUUUUUUGUUGUUAUUGCAGUCACCUGACGAGUUGAUUGAGAUGGCACAUAAAUACUAUGCAGAGACGGCUCUUCCAAAACUGGUCAGAUAUUUAACCAUGUAGAUUUUACUUGACACUAUUUUAAUGUUCUAAAACUAACUUGAAGUGGGUAUACCUUUCAUAGGUAGCAGAUUUUGGCUCACUUGAACUGUCACCAGUUGAUGGAAGAACAUUGACUGAUUUUAUGCAUACAAGGGGCCUACAGAUGUGUUCUUUGGGGCGUGUGGUAAUUUCUCAGCCAUUAUACCACUUUUCAUUCUGCACUAGAACUUGUGACAUUCCAGUCAUUUGUGAGCUGUUGAUAGUUCAGUUCGUUUUUUGAAAUUUGAGACCAACCAACACUUGAGCUUUAGUCCUGUACCAACUUAUUAAUAAUUUUACUCUAUUAUUGCAGGUUGAACUUGCAGACAAACUCCCUCAUGUGCAAUCACUCUGUAUACAUGAAAUGAUCGUUCGAGCCUACAAGCACAUAUUACAAGCUGUUGUAUCUAUGGUAAAUGAAGUCGCUGACCUGACUGCCUCAGUCGCAGCAUGUUUAAAUAUAUUGUUAGGAACUCCUGCACCUGAAACGGAGGAUGCAGAGAUCGUGAAAGAUGACGAGUUAAAGUGGAAAUGGGUGGAAACCUUCCUGUUAAAGAGGUUUGGGUGGCAGUUGAAGCAUGAAAGUUGCCGAGAUCUACAAAAAUUUGCUAUUCUUCGUGGACUUUCCCACAAAGUAAGCAUAUGUCGUUCUGUUUUUUGUGUGGAAAUUAUAUCUCAUUUUGUUGAUAUUGCUUCUGGUGC